CCUACGGGUGGCAGCAGUGAGGAAUAUUGGUCAAUGGACGGAAGUCUGAACCAGCCAAGCCGCGUGCGGGAGGACGGCUCUAUGAAUUGUAAACCGCUUUUGUCAAGGGGUAAACCUGAAGACGUGUAUUCGGCUGAAAGUACUGUACGAAAAAGGAUCGGCUAACUCCGUGCCAGCAGCCGCGGUAAUACGGAGGAUACAAGCGUUAUCCGGAUUUAUUGGGUUUAAAGGGUGCGUAGGCGGAUUGAUAAGUUAGAGGUGAAAUGUCCGAGCUUAACCCGGGAACUGCCGUUAAAACUGUUGAUCUCGAGAUUAGAUGCGGUAGGCGGAAUGUAUGGUGUAGCGGUGAAAUGCUUAGAGAUCGUACAGAACACCGAUUGCGAAGGCAGCUUACCAA
rnacentral:rRNA from 1 species